GACGAACGCUGGCGGCGUGCCUAAUACAUGCAAGUCGAGCGGACCAAUAGAAGCUUGCUUCUGUUGGUUAGCGGCGGACGGGUGAGUAACACGUGGGCAACCUGCCUGUAAGACUGGGAUAACUUUGGGAAACCGGAGCUAAUACCGGAUAAUUCAUCACCUCGCAUGAGGGGAUGCUGAAAGUCGGUUUACGCUGACACUUACAGAUGGGCCCGCGGCGCAUUAGCUAGUUGGUGAGGUAAUGGCUCACCAAGGCGACGAUGAGUAGCCGACCUGAGAGGGUGAUCGGCCACACUGGGACUGAGACACGGCCCAGACUCCUACGGGAGGCAGCAGUAGGGAAUCUUCCACAAUGGACGAAAGUCUGAUGGAGCAACGCCGCGUGAGCGAUGAAAGCCUUCGGGUCGUAAAGCUCUGUUGUUAGGGAAGAACAAGUAUCGGAGUAAUUGCCGGUACCUUGACGGUACCUAACCAGAAAGCCACGGCUAACUACGUGCCAGCAGCCGCAGUAA
rnacentral:rRNA from 1 species